UGUCACUGAUUAAUGUGUACUAUGGGGAGCAAGAGAUAAGAGACCUAAGUGCAAUUUCAAGGAUGAGACCUUAGACUAUGUUCAAACAGCACAGCGGAUGCCUGUUGCAGCUUUAUAGCAUAAUGUCUCUCAAACUGUGGAUUCCUUCCUGAUUUCUCCAG